rnacentral:rRNA from 1 species
UACGGAGGGUGCAAGCGUUAUCCGGAUUCACUGGGUUUAAAGGGUGCGUAGGUGGGUCUGUAAGUCCGUGGUGAAAUCUCCGAGCUUAACUUGGAAACUGCCAUGGAUACUAUAGAUCUUGAAUACUGUGGAGGUUAGCGGAAUAUGUCAUGUAGCGGUGAAAUGCUUAGAUAUGACAUAGAACACCAAUUGCGAAGGCAGCUGGCUACACAAAUAUUGACACUGAUGCACGAAAGCGUGGGGAUCAAACGGG